GACGAACCGUCCAAACGUUAUUCGGAAUCACUGGGCUUACAGAGUUCGUAGGCGGUCUGGAAAGUUGGGUGUGAAAUCCCUCGGCUCAACCGAGGAACUGCGCUCCAAACUACUGGGCUAGAGGAAGAUAGAGGUGAGCAGAACUGAUGGUGGAGCGGUGAAAUGCGUUGAUAUCUGGAGGAACACCGGUGGCGAAGGCGGCAUCCUGGACCGGUAUUGACGCUGAGGCGCGAAAGCCAGGGGAGCAAACGGG
rnacentral:rRNA from 1 species